GACAUAGGUGGCAAACGUUAUCCGGAAUUAUUGGGCGUAAAGAGUGCGUAGGUGGUUUAAUAAGUUAGUAGUGGUAAAUUGGGGCUCAACUUCAUGGAAGUUACUAAUACUAUUAAACUAGAGGAUCGGAGAGGUUAACGGAAUUCUAUGUGUAGCGGUAAAAUGCUCAAAUAUAUAGAGGAACACCAAGUGGCGAAGGCGGAUCUCUGGACAGUUACUGACACUGAGGCACGAAGGCCAGGGGAGCAAACGGG
rnacentral:rRNA from 1 species